rnacentral:rRNA from 1 species
UCAGAUUGAACGCUGGCGGCAGGCCUAACACAUGCAAGUCGAACGGUAGCACAGAGGAGCUUGCUCCUUGGGUGACGAGUGGCGGACGGGUGAGUAAUGUCUGGGAAACUGCCCGAUGGAGGGGGAUAACUACUGGAAACGGUAGCUAAUACCGCAUAACGUCGCAAGACCAAAGAGGGGGACCUUCGGGCCUCUUGCCAUCGGAUGUGCCCAGAUGGGAUUAGCUAGUAGGUGGGGUAACGGCUCACCUAGGCGACGAUCCCUAGCUGGUCUGAGAGGAUGACCAGCCACACUGGAACUGAGACACGGUCCAGACUCCUACGGGAGGCAGCAGUGGGGAAUAUUGCACAAUGGGCGCAAGCCUGAUGCAGCCAUGCCGCGUGUAUGAAGAAGGCCUUCGGGUUGUAAAGUACUUUCAGCGAGGAGGAAGGUGUUGUGGUUAAUAACCACAGCAAUUGACGUUACUCGCAGAAGAAGCACCGGCUAACUCCGUGCCAGCAGCCGCGGUAAUACGGAGGGUGCAAGCGUUAAUCGGAAUUACUGGGCGUAAAGCGCACGCAGGCGGUCUGUCAAGUCGGAUGUGAAAUCCCCGGGCUCAACCUGGGAACUGCAUCCGAAACUGGCAGGCUAGAGUCUUGUAGAGGGGGGUAGAAUUCCAGGCGUAGCGGUGAAAUGCGUAGAGAUCUGGAGGAAUACCGGUGGCGAAGGCGGCCCCCUGGACAAAGACUGACGCUCAGGUGCGAAAGCGCGGGGAGCAAACAGGAUUAGAUACCCUGGUAGUCCACGCCGUAAACGAUGUCGACUUGGAGGUUGUGCCCUUGAGGCGUGGCUUCCGGAGCUAACGCGUUAAGUCGACCGCCUGGGGAGUACGGCCGCAAGGUUAAAACUCAAAUGAAUUGACGGGGGCCCGCACAAGCGGUGGAGCAUGUGGUUUAAUUCGAUGCAACGCGAAGAACCUUACCUACUCUUGACAUCCAGAGAACUUAGCAGAGAUGCUUUGGUGCCUUCGGGAACUCUGAGACAGGUGCUGCAUGGCUGUCGUCAGCUCGUGUUGUGAAAUGUUGGGUUAAGUCCCGCAACGAGCGCAACCCUUAUCCUUUGUUGCCAGCGGUUAGGCCGGGAACUCAAAGGAGACUGCCAGUGAUAAACUGGAGGAAGGUGGGGAUGACGUCAAGUCAUCAUGGCCCUUACGAGUAGGGCUACACACGUGCUACAAUGGCAUAUACAAAGAGAAGCGACCUCGCGAGAGCAAGCGGACCUCAUAAAGUAUGUCGUAGUCCGGAUUGGAGUCUGCAACUCGACUCCAUGAAGUCGGAAUCGCUAGUAAUCGUGGAUCAGAAUGCCACGGUGAAUACGUUCCCGGGCCUUGUACACACCGCCCGUCACACCAUGGGAGUGGGUUGCAAAAGAAGUAGGUAGCUUAACCUUCGGGAGGGCGCUUACCACUUUGUGAUUCAUGACUGGGGUG